rnacentral:rRNA from 1 species
CGYCUUCAGCCCCAUAAUUGAUAGGUCCGWCCUGCCCAGUSARCCCUUUAAACGGCCGCGGUACCCUGACCGUGCUAAGGUAGCAUAAUCCCUUGCCUUUUAAUUGAUGGCUAGUAUGAAUGGUCAGACGAGCGUAAAUUUGUCUCUAACAAGCCCCCAUUAAAUUAACCUUUAGGUGAAAAGGCCUAACCGUCCAAGGAGGACAAGAAGACCCUAUCGAGCUUUAUAUUUUUAUGUCUUUAACGCAUAUACCUUAUUUUGUUGGGGCAACAAAGGACCAAACAAACCGUCCUUCUCAACUCUCACCCAACCAAUCCGCACAAUCUAUUUUCAAUCCAAUCAACCUAUAGCUACCGUAGGGAUAACAGACUAAUCCUCCCCGAGAGCUCACAUUGACGGGAGGGCUUGGCACCUCGAUGUUGGCUUAGGGCUCUCUAUAAGAAGCAGCAUUCUUACUAGUA